rfam:Nomascus leucogenys chromosome X, whole genome shotgun sequence.
GUUUUAGUAUAAGUAUGUCCCAUGUGCUAUUUGGGAUAUAUUUAUGCUAAAA